rnacentral:rRNA from 1 species
GACGAACGCUGGCGGCGUGCUUAACACAUGCAAGUCGAACGGAAAGGCCCUGCUUUUGUGGGGUGCUCGAGUGGCGAACGGGUGAGUAACACGUGAGUAACCUGCCCUUGACUUUGGGAUAACUUCAGGAAACUGGGGCUAAUACCUGAUAGGAUCUCCUGCUGCAUGGUGGGGGUUGGAAAGUUUCGGCGGUUGGGGAUGGACUCGCGGCUUAUCAGCUUGUUGGUGGGGUAGUGGCUUACCAAGGCUUUGACGGGUAGCCGGCCUGAGAGGGUGACCGGCCACAAUGGGACUGAGAUACGGCCCAGACUCCUACGGGAGGCAGCAGUGGGGAAUAUUGCACAAUGGGCGGAAGCCUGAUGCAGCAACGCCGCGUGCGGGAUGACGGCCUUCGGGUUGUAAACCGCUUUCGCCUGUGACGAAGCGUGAGUGACGGUAAUGGGUAAAGAAGCACCGGCUAACUACGUG